rnacentral:rRNA from 1 species
CAAGGAAUUUUCCCCAAUGGGCGCAAGCCUGAGGGAGCUACGCCGCGUGCAGGACGACGGCCUUCGGGCUGUAAACUGCUUUUGCGUGGGACGAUAACGACGGUACCACGCGAAUCAGCCCCGGCUAACUCUGUGCCAGCAGCCGCGGUAAUACGGAGGAUGCAAGCGUUAUCCGGAAUUAUUGGGCGUAAAGCGUCCGCAGGUGGCUCUUCAAGUCUGCUGUCAAAGACAGAAGCUCAACUUCUGGCCGGCGGUGGAAACUGGGGAGCUAGAGUACGGUAGGGGUAGAGGGAAUUUCCAGUGUAGCGGUGAAAUGCGUAGAGAUUGGAAAGAACACCAGUGGCGAAGGCGCUCUACUGGACCGAAACUGACACUCAGGGACGAAAGCUAGGGGAGCGAAAGGGAUUAGAUACCCCCGUAGUCC